rfam:Camelus ferus unplaced genomic scaffold scaffold875, whole genome shotgun sequence.
AGGGGCCGGCGGCUUCGGCAGCCGAGGGGAGGGGAAGCGGCACGCACCAGCCAUUUUCAGCUCAGUUGGAGUUAAGCUUGGAAUCUGUAACCUGGAGGUG